rnacentral:lncRNA from 10 species
CUGGUCCCUAAGCCCUUCCAGCCCAGGAGCCAGACCUGUGAGCAAACAAGCCUUUAGUGAUUCCAGGCUCUGGCUGGAACCUUGAGUCUUCUCAGCUUGGGGCAUGCACCUCAGGGGGAGCCAGCAUCAGUGUCCAGCCCCAAGAGCUUCCCUGUACGUCUCAGUGAGUCUUCACAUGCCUCCAACUGCCUGGACAACCACACGUGAUACCUGUCCUGCCAAACGUGUCCUGAACCCAUAAAAUCCAGAGAAAAGAAAAUCGUUUUAAACUGCUGAGGUUUGGGGUCUUUCCUGUGCUGUUUUCGUGAUAGUGAAUGAGUGUCACGAGAUCCGAUGGUUUUAAAAACGGGAGUUUCCUGCAUAAGCUCUCUCUCUGCCUGCUGCCAUCCAUGUAAGAUGUGACUCGCUCCUCCCUACCUUCCGCCGUGAUUGUGAGGCGUCCCCAGCCAUGUGGAACUGUAAGUCCAUUAAACCUUCUUCCUGUGUAAAUUA